UACGUAGGGACCAAGCGUUGUCCGGAAUCAUUGGGCGUAAAGAGCGUGUAGGCGGCUUGUUAAGUCUUGCGUGAAAUCUCGGGGCUCAACCCCGAGCGGUCGUGAGAAACUGGCAGGCUAGAGUGCGGGAGAGGAGAGUGGAAUUCCUGGUGUAGCGGUGAAAUGCGCAGAUAUCAGGAAGAACACCGGUGGCGAAGGCGGUGAGCUGGGCAGUUGCUGACACUGAGGCGCGACAGCGUGGGGAGCAAACAGG
rnacentral:rRNA from 1 species